UGCUAACAAGAAAGGACUUACAUGAAGAAGUGUUGUACAACUAUGAGAAUGGAAGGAGGAUUUGGUGUUUAAUUGAGGAAAUGGAUAAAAAAUUGGUAUGUGUCGAGCAACUAUAGCCACCUGAUAGAAGGGUAAAUUAGAAAGUUCAGAUUACAUUAUGCCAACAGAGAUGAUAACAAUGCCAACCAAGCUAAAAGUUGUCCAGGAAAACUUUUGUAUUGGAGACGAGACAAGUUAAUGACUUAAUGAUAGACUCACUGCAGAGAGAGAUGUUGGAAAAGUGGAUUUUGUUAACAAAAGGAAGAUAAGAUCAAGGCUGCCAACCUUUGAGAGAUACACUUCAAAAAGAGUGUUUAAAUUCAAGACAUUCAGUCACAGUACUCUGUAAAUAUUAUAAAGUAAAAGUUAUUUAUUUAAUUUGGAAAAGCAUUUGAGAAACAGAGGAUGUGAAAAAGACUUUGUCCAUUUCAAGCUAUCUGUUGUCAAGUACCAGGAAUAUGUGGAUUUUAUUCAACAACUUUAUUAUGAAUUUGAAUAGCAACUUUCAAUGUCUGGAAGCUUUUUUAUCAGUAGGGAUGUAGAUGUGAAAUUAUAUAAAAAUUAUUUUUUAAAAGAUAUUAAUCAAGAAAAUUUUUGUAGAUUAAUAACAGGUAAAAUUUGUAAUGAGAGAUCUUUUAUUGAUCAUUUGCAGUAGUAAGCGACAGUUGUUAUAAUUAUACCCCCACUCUGAAGUAGGGGGGUAUUCUCAUUUACCCUUGUGUGUCUGUCUGUAACAAUUUUUUGUCGCAGUUUUCUCAGCAACUACUCAUCAAAGAUGCUUGAAAUUUUGACACUCUCUUUGACUAGGCAUGCCAUAUUGUGGGAUUCAUGAGAGUGUAUAUUCACAUCAGAGCGGGGGUAUUACUAGUGAGCAUUGACUCACAGACUUCCUGUUUGCUGAAGUUUGUGUUUGACUUUCAUGUCUUUAACAUGAUAUGGCUUAAGGAUAUGCGCAGUAUAGUUUGAACUAUAUUUUCUUAUUCUCUCUAUAAUUUAAGAAAUCCAGUAAUUGAAAGAUCUUUGUGCAAAUUUAUGAUACCUGGUAAUGCUUGCACACCUUAUCUGAAUCAAAUUUUGAAGAAAAUACCACAUAAAACAUUUUUUUUGGGGGG